AAGAAGCACCGGCUAACUCCGUGCCAGCAGCCGCGGUAAUACGGGAGGGUGCGAGCGUUAAUCGGAAUUACUGGGCGUAAAGCGCAUGCAGGUGGUUUGUUAAGUCAGAUGUGAAAGACCCGGGGCGUCAACCUCGGAAUAGCAUUUGAAACUGGCAGACUAGAGUACUGUAGAGGGGGGUAGGAAUUUCAGGUGUAGCGGUGAAAUGCGUAGAGAUCUGAAGGAAUACCGGUGGCGAAGGCGGCCCCCUCGGACAGAUACUGACACUCAGAUGCGAAAGCGUGGGGAGCAAACAGGAUUAGAUACCCUGGUAG
rnacentral:rRNA from 1 species